UAAUACGAAGGGGGCUAGCGUUGUUCGGAAUUACUGGGCGUAAAGCGUUUGUAGGCGGUCUUUUAAGCCAGUGGUGAAAGCCCAGGGCUCAACCCUGGAAUUGCCAUUGGUACUGGAAGGCUAGAGAAUGUUAGAGGUUAGUGGAAUUCCUAGUGUAGGAGUGAAAUCCGUAGAGAUUAGGAGGAAUAUCGAUGGCGAAGGCAGCUAACUGGGACAUUUCUGACGCUGAGAAACGAAAGCGUGGGUAGCAAACAGGAUUAGAUACCCUGGUAGUCCACGCCCUAAACGAUGGGUGCUAGAUGUCGGGACAUUAGUCUCGGUAUCGCAGCUAACGCGUUAAGCACCCCGCCUGGGGAGUACGGUCGCAAGAUUA
rnacentral:rRNA from 1 species